AACAGCCGCAACUUUGCAAACAUUUUUGUUGCGCAGCAGACGGAACACUGCGUGUUUCAGCUGGAAUAGUCUUUAAGAAAUUUGAAAAAUGUCUUAAAAACAGCAGUAAGUGUCAGUAGACCCGCGGGUUUUUUCAAAGUUAGCUUUUAAUUUGAACGUUUCUUACAGAAAACAGAUGCAUGACACCGAGUGCGUUACCAGCACCCUGUCAGCUCUACUGCAGAUCUUCAGAGAGGGAAAAGAAAGGACAGGAAGAAACAAGUGAAAUGACUGUGCAAGGGUCUUAAAUCCAGUGGCCUGAUGGUGGUGGUCAAGCUUCU